rnacentral:lncRNA from 12 species
CUGUGGCUUUAAAAAACCUCACACUGCUUUCUGGUGCUGCUCCAUCUCCCAUCAGGGAGCUCUCCCUCUGCCUGGGGGCCUCCUUCCCGCCUCCUCCCCACCCUAGCUGGUCCUCCCACCUCUGUGUCCCCUCCCCCACCCUCCCCUCCUUCCUUUCCUUCUCUCUUUCUCGUCCCACAGGACCUCUAGCCUCCUCCUUUCUUCUCACUGAGCUCCUCCUUUGUGGCUUCAGCCUGCCCUUCCUGUCUCCAGGCCUCCAGCUUUUCCUCAGCUCCACGGAAGCAUCUGUCUUACAUCUCCAUCAGCAGUGCUGAUUUCAUUAAUUGGAAGAAUUAGCUCUUUGUGGCCAAUGGAAGAAUAUGGAGCCAAAACACACGAAACGCUUUUCCCCGGUGACCCAGAGACCCCUGGACGAACUCCUGGGUGCCAUGAAAAUGGAUCAUUUUGCAGAAAGAAUAUCAUUGGAUGUUUAUUUAACAUCACUCUCCACCCCCACCCCCCAGCCCCAAAGACCUCCGAAUCACUCUCACAUCUGGCUGCUUUUUUCCCUUCACUUUUUUUGUACAAAGCCAGGGCAGGGAGGAAACUUCACCAGUCUGAAAACAUCCAGCAGCAAAGUAGACAGACAGCAGCCUAGAGCAGAAGAGGACAAAGCUGACUGGAUUGUGGAUAAGAGCUGCCCUUGUAUGGAGGCAGGAUGUAGAAGGAAGAGACUGUGCUCGGGAGUUCUACAAGCUGAUUAG